UCUUCCGUAAAUCAUGAUAUUUUACCAUGACUUUGAGGAAUAGAAAGGAUUUAAUCUAGUGGGGUGGAAACAAAAUGACGGUAAAAAAUGAAAGAUAAAACUAAGGUAAGACUUAUUGUAGAUUUGUAGUACAAGGGGUAGUGUUUCUUUUUUACUUUUUCUUCCAGUGAAAUCUGGUUCGAUCUUCUCCUCAUCAGUAGAGAGAGAGAGACGGAGACUGAAAGGAGCUUGAAGAUAUCUAUGGCGGCGGUGAAUAUCCAUAGUUAGGGGUACAAGUCAUCAAAUAACUUGAUAUACAAAAAAAAAAAAAAACCACACAGUGAUAUACAAAGAAAAGACCUCUCUUUCAUUGUUGGCUUGGGAAUAUGAUCAAGGGUCUGUUAUGGGCAACAGCCGAGGACUUGGCAAGGAAUAGAGGCCGAGUCCUUUCUCUAUAUCGUCAGAUAUUAAGAAGCCUCAAUUCCCCCAAGCUUCCCAUGAACUUAGCAGCAAGAUUGGCCAAGAAAGCAGAGGCUCGUGCUAUCUUCAUGCUGGGCGCAGAAGAGGAAUCCCUGCACAACAUUGAGGACCUUAUUGAUACCGGAGAGUAUGCUCUUUCUCUUUUGAGAAAAGGCGAAAUCCCAAAAUACAUUCAGUGAGUGCACCAUUGAUGGAUUUGACACUGUUCUUCAAAUUUUAUUUAUGUCAAAUGCUGUACAAGAAAAAUAAAACAGGAAAUGUAGCUUUUAACUGAUGAAUUCGUAAUAUUUUCUGAUUUUCAUACUGUCUAGCAACUGUAAUAUGCUGAGAAUAAGAACUGCAACAAAAAAUUGGAGUUGG